ACAUCUCAAAAUUUCAUGCUUGAUAAUGUAAACAUUUAUAAUUCAACAUAAAAUCUGAAAAUUACUGCACAAUGCAUAGAAAUAUGAAUAUAGUCAUGUAAUUCGACUUCUAAAUCAAUGGAAAUCUCAUAAGUUUGUAAACAACAAUAAUAGGUAUAAAACGUAACUUGAAUUUCAUGGAAAAACACAUAAAAUCAAAUAACUCUUGUAAUUAAAAACAAGUUUUGAGCACAAAGAUGAAAGAAGUAUCAUUGUUCAUAACCCCGCAUACCUCAAUGGAUGAACUAGAUGCUAAAACUUGAAUCUUGGGUCUCUUUUGAUACUUUGGAGAUGACUUCUUAGAGUUUUUGAAUUGGGGAUUCUCAAUCUUGAAUUGCCUUGUAGAAUAAAUGGAGAAAUUUGAAUUUCUUGGGGAGGAAGUUUGAUGAACUAGGGUUUUGCUUGAGAGAGAUUUGAUGAAAAGUGGAUGUAAAGUGCUUUGGAGGGGUUUAAUUCAUUGUUUAGGCCGGAUUAGGGCCUAGGAGAUUUACCAAAAUGCCCCUCUUAAACUCAUAAACGGAACUGGAAAAACAACCAAAAUCCCAACUUUUGGCCUUGGCACGACGCGCAACUAUAGCGCCAAGCCACUAAAAAAUGCCAACUGAGAAUAUGCAUGGUGGUGCGAUGCGGUGAUGUCGCGUUUCCACCUCGGAUGGGACCUGGAAACUUCGCGCGACGUGCCAAUAUCGUGGACCCUCACUGGAAUUGAACAAUUGGGGAUUUGGCCCUCUCCGUGAUGCACCAAUAUUGCGGAGGGCUGCUGGACAUUGACAAACAUCAUUUAAACCUUCUCCACGAUGCGCUAAUAACCUAAAUGACGGUGUCUUACGUCUGGAAUUUAAAAUAGCCAUAACUUCUUACUCAGUUAUCGAAUUUAGGCGGAUCUUAUAUCGUUGGAAAGGUUAUUCAAUUUCCCACACAAUGGGAAGUCUAAAUCUAAAAAAUUCUAUGCGAAAAAUAUAUUAUCUAUCUUGGAAGAUUUUCUUUAACCUUCUAGGGAUGAAUUCAAGCUAGGAAAAGUACGGGUGUUACACUUAUUGACCUUCUAAUUAGCUGACAAGUCCUCGCCUCCUUGAAUCUUCUUCAGGCUCUGGUGUAAUUUACUGAUGCAGAAACUGCUACUUCAGCAAAGGAUGCCCUGGAUGGAAGAAGCAUUCCCAGCAUCAAGCAAUUUAGUACAAACGGCCUCUUAUGGUGGAGAGGUCUUGCUCAACUGUUGGAAGUUAAAGAAUUUGUUAAAUGAUGAACGCCCAUCUCAAGAAGACAACCAAGAGGAUGAAAGUGAUGAUGACUCUGACGCGUGAAUGAAAGUGAUUCUAAUCUUGAUAACGUGGAUGAAAGUGAUUCUGACCUUGAUGGUUGGUAGUUUUAUUGAGGAUUCAAAUUUGAAAUAUUUUAUUUUGGACCAUUUAAGAAUCAUACAUUAUUCAUGUGGAUGUUUUGAAUUAUUUUUUUUUUGUUAGUUGUAAUGAUUUACAUUAGACUUGUAUUUAAUGAUGUUUUUGAGAAUUAUUGAAGGUUUUGAAUAGAUUUUUGAUUAAUUGUGAAAUAUUUUUAGUAA